GACGAACGCUGGCGGCGUGCUAAAAACAGCAAAGUGAGGGGUUAAGGGUGGUAAUUGGUACCACUGGAAGGACCGGGAACGGGGGGGUUACGGGGGGGGAAUCUGCCUUUGAGCGGGGGGCAACCUUUGGAAAAGAAAGCUAAUACCGCAUUAAAAAUUUAAAAAACAGGUUUAAGUUUGAAAGAUGCAAUUGCAUCCAUCAAAGAAGAAUCCGCGUUGUAUUGGCUAGUUGGUGAGGUAAAGGCUCACCAAGGCGAUGAUACAUAGCCGACCUGAGAGGGUGAUCGGCCACAUUGGGACUGAGACACGGCCCAAACUCCUACGGGAGGCAGCAGUAGGGAAUCUUCGGCAAUGGACGAAAGUCUGACCGAGCAACGCCGCGUGAGUGAAGAAGGUUUUCGGAUCGUAAAACUCUGUUGGUAGAGAAGAACGUUGGUGAGAGUGGAAAGCUCAUCAAGUGACGGUAACUACCCAGAAAGGGACGGCUAACUACGUG
rnacentral:rRNA from 1 species